rnacentral:rRNA from 1 species
GACGAACGCUGGCGGCGUGCUUAACACAUGCAAGUCGAGCGGUAAGGCCCUUUCGGGGGUACACGAGCGGCGAACGGGUGAGUAACACGUGGGUGACCUGCCCUCAGCUCUGGGAUAAGCCUGGGAAACUGGGUCUAAUACUGGAUAUGACUCCACGGUGCAUGUCGUGGGGUGGAAAGCCUUGUGCGGCUGAGGAUGGGCCCGCGGCCUAUCAGCUUGUUGGUGGGGUGANGGCCUACCAAGGCGACGACGGGUAGCCGGCCUGAGGAGGGCGACCGGCCACACUGGGACUGAGACACGGCCCAGACUCCUACGGGAGGCAGCAGGUGGGGAAUCUUGCGCAAGUGGGCGAAAGCCUGACGCAGCGACGCCGCGUGAGGGAUGACGGCCU